UAUCGCCCCAGGCUCCGUGCCAAUUCUCUCCAGAGCAGCCCCGACCUCCACCCUCCCCCAAUUCCUGCACAUCGAGAGCUCUCGCUGACAUCUCAAAAAAAAAAAAAAAAAAAGAGAGCUCUCGCUGACCCUGCCCGUUCCGGCGACCGGCGGUGCCCUCAGCAGCCCCUAGCAGAUCCCUGCUUCGCGCGGAUUCCAGUGUCGGCCUGCCGUUCUGCUCCCCCUACAGCUACCCCACACAUCCAUCUCCGAAGAUCUGCCGGAGGAGCUCUCCACUUACCGACGGCCGGCGGCGCCCCGCAGUCCCCUGCAUCGAGCGGAUGCCCGUGGUGCCCUGCUGUUUCUCUCAGCAUCCACAUACCAAGCAGACGCCUCCUCCCUAUCCUCCACGCCUCCAUCCCCUCAACCUGCCACUCGUCCCUGCCCAGUCCGGUUGCGCGCGGCGCCGCUGCCCCUGCCCACCCCUUCCGGCGCGAGCCCUUCGCUCCGUCCCUGCGCCGACAGGGGAUGGAUCCACGCUGGACCAGCCGCUGGUGGCCUGACAGGUAGGGGUCAGUGGCAGGGCCUGGUCGGCGUCAGGAGCCAGACCAUCAGAGAUAGGAGCACCGUGCUGCCCCUCCUCCGGCGACCUGUGGCGCCUUCUACUCCAGCAACGAUUGAUCUACAAGGAGCAGCAACACUUGAAGAAGCUCAUGCCGUUGCAAGGCCAAGGAAGAAGAGUAAGGAGCUGCAUUCCUUCACAUGUAGCUAUGAUGUAAUGGUUAACCAUCCAAAGUACAGUUUCAGUGUGAUCUAAUGUUUAAGCAAUAUUUUAAGAAUUCAGAGUUAUUGUGGUUUGCGCUGUAGCGAGCAGCCGCAACCCCUGACUUUAAAUUGUGGUUAGCGCUUGUUCCAUCUAUUAUUGUUGAACUCGUUUGGUGCGAUGCUGUAAACAUUGGUUCAAUGAAAUCCGAUAAACCGAAUUACGAUGA